rnacentral:rRNA from 1 species
AACACAUGCAAGUCGAACGAGGUCCAUGCAGUGGCAACACUGCGGACGACCUAGUGGCGAACGGGUGAGUAACACGUGAGGAACUUGCCCCGGAGACCGGGAUAAGCCCCCGAAAGGGGGUCUAAUACCGGAUGUCCUCACCGAGUCGCAUGGCUUGGUGAGGAAAUGGAUUCCGCUCCGGGAGAGCCUCGCGGCCUAUCAGCUAGUUGGUGGGGUAACGGCCCACCAAGGCGUCGACGGGUAGCUGGUCUGAGAGGACGAUCAGCCACACUGGGACUGAGACACGGCCCAGACUCCUACGGGAGGCAGCAGUGGGGAAUCUUGCGCAAUGGGCGAAAGCCUGACGCAGCAACGCCGCGUGCGGGAUGACGGCCCUCGGGUUGUAAACCGCUUUCAGUGGGGACGAACCAAGACGGUACCCACAGAAGAAGGUCCGGCCAAC